rnacentral:rRNA from 1 species
GACGAACGCUGGCGGCGUGCUUAACACAUGCAAGUCGAACGGAAAGGCCCUGCUUUUGUGGGGUGCUCGAGUGGCGAACGGGUGAGUAACACGUGAGUAACCUGCCCUUGACUUUGGGAUAACUUCAGGAAACUGGGGCUAAUACCGGAUAGGAGCUCCUGCUGCAUGGUGGGGGUUGGAAAGUUUCGGCGGUUGGGGAUGGACUCGCGGCUUAUCAGCUUGUUGGUGGGGUAGUGGCUUACCAAGGCUUUGACGGGUAGCCGGCCUGAGAGGGUGACCGGCCACAUUGGGACUGGGAUACGGCCCAGCCUCCUACGGGAGGCAGCGGUGGGGAAUAUUGCACAAUGGGCGGAAGCCUGAGGCAGCAACGCCGGGUGAGGGAUGACGGCCUCCGGGUUGUAAACCGCUUUCGCCUGUGACGAAGCGUGAGUGACGGUAAUGGGUAAAGAAGCACCGGCUAACUACGUG